UGUCUCUGUUUCCUGGCUAGAAUGGGUGAGCAGCUGUCUUCCACCAAGCCCUUCCACCAUUGCCAUUUCUGCCUUGGAGCCAAACAGCCAUGGAUUGAAGCCAGUGAAACCAUGAGCCAAAUAAACUUCUCUUUUAAAUUACUUGUCAACACAAACCAUCAAGUCAAGAAGAGUUUGUAGUGAAGAGUUUCAAAUCCUGAAAGAAAACAACUUCCAACUCAGAUUGAUGUACCCUGAAAAACUAUCUCUAUAACUGAUGGGAAAAUAAGAUACUUCCAUGAUAAAGAACAACUGAAGGAAUUCAUGACCACUAAACCAACCUUACAGAGAGUGUUGAAGGAUAUUCUGGAGAAAGACAAAGAUGACCAUGUUUUCCGGAACAGCAGCAGAGGACGAUUGCCAAACAAGGCCAAGUCUAGGGGAAAAUACUACUUUAAAAAAAUGCCGAAACAUAUUCUCAUGG